UGGGGUUAUAUGGUCAAGCGAAUAAGCGCACACGGUGGAUGCCUAGGCGGUCAGAGGCGAUGAAGGACGUGGUAGCCUGCGAAAAGUGUCGGGGAGCUGGCAACAAGCUUUGAUCCGGCAAUAUCCGAAUGGGGAAACCCACUGCUUCGGCAGUAUCCUGCAGUGAAUUCAUAGCUGCUGGAAGCGAACCCCGA
rnacentral:rRNA from 1 species